rnacentral:rRNA from 1 species
UACGGAGGGGGCAAGCGUUAUUCGGAAUUAUUGGGCGUAAAGGGCGCGUAGGCGGCUUGACAAGUCAAAGGUGAAAUCCCUCGGCUCAACUGAGGAACUGCCUUUGAAACUGUCUGGCUUGAGGCCGGGAGGGGGUAGCGGAAUUCCCAGUGUAGCGGUGAAAUGCGUAGAUAUUGGGAGGAACACCAGUGGCGAAGGCGGCUACCUGGACCGGUUCUGACGCUGAUGCGCGAAAGCGUGGGUAGCAAACAGG